GUCCCUCAGUCUCUCUCUUUCCUCCAGUCCCUCUGUCUCUCUUUCCUCCAGUCCCUCAGUCUCUCUUUCCUCCAGUCCCUCAGUCUCUCUCUUUCCUCCAGUCCCUCUGUCUCUCUUUCCUCCAGUCCCUCAGUCUCUCUUUCCUCCAGUCCCUCAGUCUAUCCUCCAGUCCCUCAGUCUCUCUUUCCUCCAGUCCCUCAGUCUCUCUUUCCUCCAGUCCCUCAGUCUCUCUUUCAUCCAGUCCCUCAGUCUCUCUUUCAUCCAGUCCCUCAGUCUCUCUUUCCUCCAGUCCCUCAGUCUCUCUUUCAUCCAGUCCCUCAGUCUCUCUUUCAUCCAGUCCCUCAGUCUCUCUUUCCUCCAGUCCCUCAGUCUCUCUUUCAUCCAGUCCCUCAGUCUCUCUUUCAUCCAGUCCCUCAGUCUCUCUUUCAUCCAGUCCCUCAGUCUCUCUUUCCUCCAGUCCCUCAGUCUCUCUCUUUCCUCCAGUCCCUCAGUCUAUCUUUCAUCCAGUCCCUCAGUCUCUCUUUCAUCCAGUCCCUCAGUCUCUCUUUCCUCCAGUCCCUCAGUCUCUCUUUCCUCCAGUCCCUCAGUCUCUCUUUCAUCCAGUCCCUCAGUCUCUCUUUCCUCCAGUCCCUCAGUCUCUCUCUUUCCUCCAUCCCUCAGUCUAUCUUUCAUCCAGUCCGUCAGUCUCUCUUUCAUCCAGUCCCUCAGUCUCUCUUUCCUCCAGUCCCUCAGUCUCUCUUUCAUCCAGUCCCUCAGUCUCUCUUUCCUCCAGUCCCUCAGUCUCUCUUUCCUCCAGUCCCUCAGUCUCUCUUUCCUCCAGUCCCUCAGUCUCUCUUUCCUCCAGUCCCUCAGUCUCUCUUUCAUCCAGUCCCUCAGUCUCUCUCUUUCCUCCAGUCCCUCAGUCUCUCUUUCAUCCAGUCCCUCAGUCUCUCUUUCCUCCAGUCCCUCAGUCUCUCUUUCAUCC
ensembl:lncRNA